CUUACUUAGCAUCCCCACCAGUUAUUCCCACUAGUAAAAGGUACCAGAGGUCAAAACGUGACUCAAUCCAAUUUGCUCGUUCAUACAGACUAUACGAACAGAGAUAACUUGCUUGCCGCCUCGUCGACAACCAGUAGAGUCGAUAAACGAAAAGACAAGGAAGUUCCGGCGACCGUUCAUACCGCGCCGUCGGUCGUUACCUGCUCAUUGUUUUCUAGAAAAACAACUACCGACAUGGAGAGAGACCAGUCGAUGGGGCUCAAUUCAAAACGGAAAUGGUACGGUCCACUUACUUCACCGGCAACGAAGAGCUCCCUCAUAUCACUUCAAUUAAUUAAAAAUUUCCAGUUAUAACUACGAGAUAUUGUAAUCCUAAAAUCUGUUUGAAACAAAAAAAAUAAAAUGAUAAUAAAAAAUAUGUA